rnacentral:rRNA from 1 species
GAUGAACGCUGGCGGCGUGCCUAAUACAUGCAAGUCGAGCGAACAGACGAGGAGCUUGCUCCUCUGACGUUAGCGGCGGACGGGUGAGUAACACGUGGAUAACCUACCUAUAAGACUGGGAUAACUUCGGGAAACCGGAGCUAAUACCGGAUAAUAUAUUGAACCGCAUGGUUCAAUAGUGAAAGACGGUUUUGCUGUCACUUAUAGAUGGAUCCGCGCCGCAUUAGCUAGUUGGUAAGGUAACGGCUUACCAAGGCAACGAUGCGUAGCCGACCUGAGAGGGUGAUCGGCCACACUGGAGCUGAGACACGGUCCAGACUCCUACGGGAGGCAGCAGUAGGGAUUCUGCCGAAAUGGGCGAAAGCCUGACGGAGCAACGCCGCGUGAGUGAUGAAGGUCUUCGGAUCUUAAAACUCUGUUAUUAGGGAAGAGCAAAUGUGUAAGUAACUAUGCACGCCUUGACGGUACCUAAUCAGAAAGCCACGGCUAACUACGUG